rnacentral:rRNA from 1 species
AGCGAACGUUAGCGGCGGGCCUAACACAUGCAAGUCGAACGAGAAUGUAGGCUUCGGCCUACUAGUAAAGUGGCGGACGGGUGCGUAACACGUGGGUAAUCUACCUUCCGGCGGGGGACAACAGUCCGAAAGGAUUGCUAAUACCGCAUACGUCAGCGGCGCCUACGGGCGCUGUUGGGAAAGACGGCCUCUCCUUGGAAGCUGUCACCGGAAGAUGAGCCCGCGUCCCAUCAGCUAGUUGGUGAGGUAACGGCUCACCAAGGCUUAGACGGGUAGCUGGUCUGAGAGGAUGAUCAGCCACACUGGGACUGCGACGCGGCCCAGACUCCUACGGGAGGCAGCAGUGGGGAAUAUUGGGCAAUGGGCACAAGCCUG